UCUCUCUCUCUUUCUCUGGGGACAGUGCGGAGUAGUAACAUGUCCUGGGAUGACCCGCAUCAUGGCGCUGCCUGGAGCCAUGGAUUUACUCCUAUUCAGGGCGAACACAGUCGAUCAUUUGCAGAUUUACCAGCAGCUCCGUCAGUCUGAGUCUCUCACUCAGGUUCUCUGUUCAUUUUCACCUAAAACAGGACAUAGAACCUCUACUGAUGCAGAUGAGCCCAUGUCCUGGACGUCUGAUUGGACUGGAGUCCAAUCGUUCCACCAGUCAGAUGACUCGUGGGCCACCUUUAAGCAGGAGGAUGACAGCAGAGGGGCGGAAUCCGAGAUAGCGCCAGCCGGCCAAUGGUGGAGCUGGACAGCAGUGGAGAACUCAGACCUGGCACUGUCCUCUCUGAAUAAUGUGUCCCAAGUGUUUUUAGAGGCGUUCCCUUCUGUGGACGCCACCUGUGGAGAAACCGACUGUGUUCCAACGCUGAAGGAGCUUCUGCAGGGACCUGCCGAAAACAACCGCCCCACGAAACCUCAGAGCCAGAGCUUAUUGGACGGCCUCCAGGAUCUGGACCGGAUGAUUGAUGUGAAAUAUAAGCGGGCGGAGUCUCUGAGCCGUAAGCUCCUCCUCCAGUCGCUGCACUUGGGCGCAGUCAGCUCUGAGCGUGCCAGUGGUCGUGAGCAGGCCACCGCCAGGUUCUCCCCCAACCUGCCCUCAUCCAACCAGCAGCUAGCGGCUAAUGCUAAACGGCGACUGUCUUAUGACAUCAACAGGAACAUCAUGACCUAG
ensembl:lncRNA